UACGAGGGGUGCAAGCGUUGCUCGGAAUUACUGGGCGUAAAGGGCUCGUAGGCGGCCAACUAAGUCAGACGUGAAAUCCCUCGGCUUAACCGGGGAACUGCGUCUGAUACUGGAUGGCUUGAGGUUGGGAGAGGGAUGCGGAAUUCCAGGUGUAGCGGUGAAAUGCGUAGAUAUCUGGAGGAACACCGGUGGCGAAGGCGGCAUCCUGGACCAAUUCUGACGCUGAGGAGCGAAAGCCAGGGGAGCAAACGGG
rnacentral:rRNA from 1 species